rnacentral:tRNA from 1 species
GCGCCUGUAGCUCAGUGGAUAGAGCAGUGGUCUCCGGAAUCACGUGCGGGGGUUCGAUUCCCUUCAGGCGCACCA